rnacentral:tRNA from 1 species
UCUUUGAUGGUCUAACGGUCAUGAUUUCCGCUUGUCAUUGCUUCAACAAUACAAAUCGCGGGAGACCGGGGUUCGACUCCCCGUCAGAGAG